GUUCGUACCAUCUUCCCACAAGAAUAAUAGAAAGGAUCAACUAGAAUCAUUAUUCUAUGACUAUACUCAAACAAUCUAUUAACCUAGGCUCUGAUACCAAACAAUGUAGCACCCCACCCCUAGAUCAGGCAAGGGUUUAGUAGCAAAGCUGAGUUUUAGUAGCAUCUCAUGCUGUGGUUCAUACGAUACUAUUAAAACUUGUUCAUCUACCAACAACAUGCCUUUCCC
rnacentral:lncRNA from 1 species